rnacentral:lncRNA from 1 species
UCUGCUCCUGACAAUGUUCCGUGUCUUGGAUUCAAAGAAGAAACUGAGCAUCUUUGAGUUACUCCAGUUGUGCCAAAACAGCCGCUAGGCACAAAUUGCCUCAUUUCAUCUACAUACAUAAUACUGUCCAAAGAAAGGACACAAUUACAGGUGCCGCAUCAGUUUGAAGUAGGAGACGCAGUCCUGGUGAGGAGACACCGAGCGGGAAACCUAGAACCGAGGUGGAAGGGACCCUACUUGGUGCUACUGGCAACGCCCACCGCGGUCAAAGUGGAAGGAAUCCCCACUUGGGUCCACGCAUCCCACGUCAAGAGAGCACCCCCUGGAGUCAGCCAUGAUGAGUGGACUUUGGAGAAGACUACUAAUCCUUUUAAGUUGCGCCUGCUUCGUAGGAGCGAUCCCAAAAGACUUCAACCCCCACAGUCCUGUUCAACAAACGUGGGAGGUACUCAAUGAGGGGGGUAGGACUGUAUGGACAAUCGCCGAGGUACACCCUCUGUGGACUUGGUAGCCUGAUCUUUUCCCUGACAUCUGUAAGUUGGCUAUAGGAGCCCCUCCUGGAUGGGACUGGGAGGGGUACUCUGACAUUCAGAGGGCACCUUUAACA